rnacentral:lncRNA from 1 species
UCGAAACCGGACCCAAUCGGAGAAAUCCCACUGAGUUUAGAACCAGCUUCUCCGACGGAGGGAGAGACUCUGGACAAACGACUCACCAUGAACAGCUUCAGUAAAGAAUGUCAUGUAUCAUAUCAAUCAGUCCUGGCACCAAAAUUCUGUAAGACUGAGGAGGCGCUGGUGGUGUUCUGCGACCUCCCGGACUACGACCCUCAGGACCCGUACACCGAGGAGGAGCUGGUGGAGAAGCUGUUGCCGUAUGGAUUCCUCAACAACACCAACGACAUGUGGGUGGUCCCUCAGAGCAACAUGGCUUUUGUUUUCAUGCCCAAUAGCCAGGCCAUCGUGGACCUGGUGAGGGCGUUUGUGGAGGAGCCGGCCUCGUUCGCCAUGUUCAGGGGCCGUCGGCUCAAGCCACGCAUCUUGAGGGGCUGCAGAAAGGAACUGGUAACAAAGCAUUUUUACUUUAGAGUUCACUCCUCAAUAUUUCAACCUUACCUGUUCCUCGUGUCUUUUCAGUGGAGUUUCUACUCUUGGCUGAUGCGGUCGUGCGAUAUUAAAUGGGAUAUCGAGAGAACGGUCUUGAUCUCAAACAUCAACAGUGACUUGGCUGAAUUCAGGAAGAAACUGGAGAAGUUUGGAUUGAUCACAAACUACGUGCCGCUGCUCAAUCAGGUGUUUGUGGAGUACGAGUCGGACGCAGACGCCGACAGACUCGGAGUUUACCACAGUCUUUUGAACAAACCGCCUUCGUACACACUGACCCG